UAUUGGCUUUCCUUGUUGGAGGAGGACUUCUGGUUAAAAAGUUCACAAAUGUUCCAGAAACAAUUAUGUAUGAUCUAAGGGAAGGAAGUUUAAGAGGGCUAGAGGAAAGAGGAACAACAAAGG